rnacentral:rRNA from 1 species
GUCCACGCCCUAAACGAUGUCUACUAGUUGUCGGGUUUUAAUUAACUUGGUAACGCAGCUAACGCGUGAAGUAGACCGCCUGGGGAGUACGGUCGCAAGAUUAAAACUCAAAGGAAUUGACGGGGACCCGCACAAGCGGUGGAUGAUGUGGAUUAAUUCGAUGCAACGCGAAAAACCUUACCUACCCUUGACAUGUACGGAAGCCCGGAGAGAUCUGGGUGUGCUCGAAAGAGAGCCGUAACACAGGUGCUGCAUGGCUGUCGU